rnacentral:rRNA from 1 species
CACGUAGUUAGCCGGAGCUUUCUUCUCAGGUACAGUCUUUUUUCUUCCCUGAGGACAAUAGUUUACAAUCCGAAAACCUUCUUCCUAUACGCGGCGUCACUGCGUCAGAGUUGCCUCCAUUGCGCAAUAUUCCCGACUGCUGCCUCCCGUAGGAGUCUGGGCCGUAUCUCAGUCCCAAUGUGGCCGUUCAACCUCUCAGUCCGGCUACUGAUCGUCGCCUUGGUAGGCCGUUACCCCACCAACUAGCUAAUCAGCCGCAAGCUCAUCUAUCAGCGAAUUGCUUCUUUCCCACUAUCAUCAUGCGAUGACUAUGGCAUAUGCGGUAUUAGCAGUGAUUUCUCACUGUUAUUCCCCUCUGAUAGGCAGAUUUCUUACGUGUUACUCACCAGUCCGCCACUAACCGCUUACCUUGCAAGCAAGGUAUUAAGUUCGUUCGACUUGCAUGUCUUAUGUGCGCCGCCAGCGUUUAUCCUGAGCCAGGUA